rnacentral:rRNA from 1 species
GCGGUAAUUCCAGCUCUGUAAGCGUAUACCAAAGUUGUUGCAGUUAAAACGCUCGUAGUCGGACGUUGGCGGGCGGUGCAUUUCGGCCUCACGGUUGUAUUUGCAGCGGCCGCCUUUGUGGAGGGGGGGCUCUGUGGUGCUUCACUGCAUCGCAGGGUCGCUGCCACCGUUUACUGUGAAAAAAUUAGAGUGUUCAAAGCGGGCGUUUGCCAUGAAUACAUUAGCAUGGAAUAAUAGAAUAGGACCUGGUCCUGUUUUGUUGGUUUGUGAGUAUCAGGUAAUGAUUAAGAGGGACGGUUGGGGGCAUUUGUAUUCCGGCGUCAGAGGUGAAAUUCUCGGAUU